rnacentral:rRNA from 1 species
UACGUAGGGUGCGAGCGUUGUCCGGAAUUAUUGGGCGUAAAGGGCUCGUAGGCGGUCUGUCACGUCGGGAGUGAAAUCCCGGGGCUCAACCCCGGGUCUGCAUUCGAUACGGGCAGACUAGAGUUCGGUAGGGGAGUCUGGAAUUCCUGGUGUAGCGGUGAAAUGCGCAGAUAUCAGGAGGAACACCGGUGGCGAAGGCGGGUUGCUGGGCUGACACUGACGCUGACAGCGCGAAAGCUAGGGGAGCGAACGGG